rnacentral:rRNA from 1 species
UACAGAGGUCUCAAGCGUUGUUCGGAUUCAUUGGGCGUAAAGGGUGCGUAGGCGGCUCGGUAAGUCGGGUGUGAAAUCUUGGAGCUUAACUCCGAAACUGCAUUCGAUACUGCCGUGCUUGAGGACUGGAGAGGAGACUGGAAUUUACGGUGUAGCGGUGAAAUGCGUAGAUAUCGUAAGGAAGACCAGUGGCGAAGGCGGGUCUCUGGACAGUUCCUGACGCUGAGGCACGAAGGCCAGGGGAGCAAACAGG